GACGUAGGAGGCGAGCGUUGUCCGGAUUCAUUGGGCGUAAAGAGCGCGCAGGCGGCUUGGUAAGUCGGAUGUGAAAUCCCGAGGCUCAACCUCGGGUCUGCAUCCGAUACUGCCCGGCUAGAGGUAGGUAGGGGAGAUCGGAAUUCCUGGUGUAGCGGUGAAAUGCGCAGAUAUCAGGAGGAACACCGGUGGCGAAGGCGGAUCUCUGGGCCUUACCUGACGCUCAGGCGCGAAAGCCAGGGGAGCAAACGGG
rnacentral:rRNA from 1 species